rfam:Dethiosulfovibrio peptidovorans DSM 11002 ctg1, whole genome shotgun sequence.
AAUCGCUAAUCGAUGGAACUUAAGACAGUGGGUCCUCGUCAGAGGAUAAUGGUCGUGUACCACCCACCGAGGUUCGGAGCGUUUUUCAUGUCUCUUAGAUCAUGGAAUCUAGGCUUCCGGUCCUCGGUGGAUCGGAAGCCUAUCUUUUUUUGA